AACGAACGCUGGCGGCAGGCUUAACACAUGCAAGUCGAACGCAUCCUUCGGGGUGAGUGGCAGACGGGUGAGUAACGCGUGGGAACGUGCCCUUCAGUUCGGGAUAGCCCAGGGAAACUUGGGCUAAUACCGGAUACGUGCGAGAGCAGAAAGAUUUAUCGCUGAAGGAUCGGCCCGCGUCUGAUUAACGAGUUGGUGGGGUAAUGGCCCACCAAGGCGACGAUCAGUAGCUGGUCUGAGAGGAUGAUCAGCCACAUUGGGACUGAGACACGGCCCAAACUCCUACGGGAGGCAGCAGUGGGGAAUAUUGGACAAUGGGAGCAGGCCUGAUCCAGCCAUGCCGCGUGAGUGAUGAAGGCCUUAGGGUUGUAAAACUCUUUCGUCCGGGACGAUAAUGACGGUACCGGAAGAAGAAGCCCCGGCUAACUUCGUGCCAUCCGCCGCCGUAA
rnacentral:rRNA from 1 species